GAUGAACGCUGGCGGCGUGCUUAACACAUGCAAGUCGAACGGAAAGGCUCCUGCUUGCAGGGGUACUCGAGUGGCGAACGGGUGAGUAACACGUGGGUGAUCUGCCCUGCACUUCGGGAUAAGCCUGGGAAACUGGGUCUAAUACCGGAUAGGACGAUGGUUUGGAUGCCAUUGUGGAAAGUUUUUCGGUGUGGGAUGAGCUCGCGGCCUAUCAGCUUGUUGGUGGGGUAAUGGCCUACGAAGGCGUCGACGGGUAGCCGGCCUGAGAGGGUGUACGGCCACAUUGGGACUGAGAUACGGCCCAGACUCCUACGGGAGGCAGCAGUGGGGAAUAUUGCACAAUGGGCGCAAGCCUGAUGCAGCGACGCCGCGUGGGGGAUGACGGCCUUCGGGUUGUAAACUCCUUUCGCUAGGGACGAAGCGCAAGUGACGGUACCUGGAGAAGAAGCACCGGCUAACUACGUG
rnacentral:rRNA from 1 species